GAUGAACGCUGGCGGCGUGCCUAAUACAUGCAAGUCGAGCGAAUGGAUUAAGAGCUUGCUCUUAUGAAGUUAGCGGCGGACGGGUGAGUAACACGUGGGUAACCUGCCCAUAAGACUGGGAUAACUCCGGGAAACCGGGGCUAAUACCGGAUAACAUUUUGAACCGCAUGGUUCGAAAUUGAAAGGCGGCUUCGGCUGUCACUUAUGGAUGGACCCGCGUCGCAUUAGCUAGUUGGUGAGGUAACGGCUCACCAAGGCAACGAUGCGUAGCCGACCUGGGAGGGUGAUCGGCCAAACGGGGACUGAGACACGGCCCAGACUCCUACGGGAGGCAGCAGUAGGGAAUCUUCCGCAAUGGACGAAAGUCUGACGGAGCAACGCCGCGUGAGUGAUGAAGGCUUGCGGGUCGUAAAACUCUGUUGUUAGGGAAGAACAAGUGCUAGUUGAAUAAGCUGGCACCUUGACGGUACCUAACCAGAAAGCCACGGCUAACUACGUGCCAGCCGCCGCCGUAA
rnacentral:rRNA from 1 species